UACGGAAGGGGCUAGCGUUGCUCGGAAUCACUGGGCGUAAAGCGCACGUAGGCGGCUUUUUAAGUCAGAGGUGAAAUCCUGGAGCUCAACUCCAGAACUGCCUUUGAUACUGGAGAGCUUGAGUCCGGGAGAGGUGAGUGGAACUGCGAGUGUAGAGGUGAAAUUCGUAGAUAUUCGCAAGAACACCAGUGGCGAAGGCGGCUCACUGGCCCGGUACUGACGCUGAGGUGCGAAAGCGUGGGGAGCAAACAGGG
rnacentral:rRNA from 1 species